rnacentral:rRNA from 1 species
GUCUAGUGGCGGAAGGGUUAGUAAUGCGUAGAUAAUUUGUCCUUAACUUGGGAAUAACGGUUAGAAAUGGCCGCUAAUACCGAAUGUGGUGUGAUCAGGCAUCUGAGAGCAUUAAAGAAGGGGAUCUUCGGACCUUUUGGUUGAGGGGGAGUCUAUGUGAUAUCAGCUAGUUGGUAAGGUAAGAGCUUACCAAGGCUAUGACGUCUAGGCGGGUUGAGAGAUUGACCGCCAACCCUGGGACUGAA